rnacentral:lncRNA from 1 species
CCAAAAAAAAGAAUGUGUCAUGAAUGCCUUCUUUUUUCCAUUGCCAGUAAGGAAAGGGAGACAAAGUCCUGCUUCCCACAGGGAACAAAUGGUAAACUACAGAAGGAUCUCAGUAGUUAUAAGCUCAGUCUUCCUAAUCAACAGAUUUUGCACCCAAGGAAGCAUGGCAAGAUCUAUUUAGCUGGAAUGAGUAAAAGAAACUGGAAUAACUUAAAAAAAAAAAAAAAAAGAAAACCUCUCUCCUUACAGAGAAACUUGGUCUCUUUAUGCCUGGUUAAUUAAUAUCCUCACAAGCAUGAGAAGACCUUCCUACACUGACGUGUAAGAUUAUACAUUGUUACUGCCAAAUCCCUCAGGAGUAUUUCUUCAGUGACACCAAUGAAAUAAAAAUGUGGAGAGAUGUUCA